UGGCAGCUCCGUGCUUUCCUGGCAUUCACACACAUAGAGUGACGCAAAGGAGUCAGAGAGCAAGUGAUUGCAGCCCUGAAACCUUGCCCUCAUCCACUGCCAGCGCCACCACCGUCCCUCACCAACCCUACGGUGAGCCCUUUCCACUGCUCCAAUGCUCAGCAAGUAAAAGGAACAGGGCAAGGUGGCGCAGUGCAGUGACAGCGUAGGGAACUACGCGUAAACGACAGAGGACUUGUUUUCUGAGGGUCAAUGAUCGAAGUUUUUCAAGCUGGCUGACCCACUCAAGUGCCAGGACGACUAUAUAAGCAUAGUGGCACUGAUGACUGUUGUCUAGGAAUAUUCUCCUCUUUAACGGUUCAAGCUGAGUUAUGAUGCCUGCGGCUUCAUUUGGCAAUGAUAAAUCACCUGACUUGGUCACAGUGAAAGCCGAGGAGAAAGUCAGCUGGGAUUGGGGUACCCCCGAAUUCUAAAGUGACGUGAUAUGACGUCUCAAGGGAAUCAUUUGGUGCAGGCAAUGCAACAUGUUCGGAGAAGAAUAUGGUUGGCAUGGGGACUGGAACUGGAUGCUUUGCGUUAGAGAACAGAGCUCAUGCAUCUAUCAUCUAUGGUGAUGGAACUUCACUCGGACUAGCUCCUAAUGGUGCAUAAAAGGAAAAUUCUAAUGGAUACUUCCUCUAUUCUUGAGAUCGUGUGGUAAAAAAUUAAAGAAGUUUUCUUUGCAACUGGAGAAGGUCGACGUCGGUUGGUAGGGAGUGAUGGUUGUGUUACAAAGCUCUUUUAGAAGGUACUGGACAAUUUUGGUGUUUUGCUUGAGAGUUGAAUCCCAAUGAAUAUAUUCACGAGGGAACCCCUCGCUUAGUCCGUA